CCCGUCCGGCCAAAGACCUUGCUUGUCAUCCCUGUAAAACAGAUCAAGGAAACAUCCAUCGGUCAUCCAAAUUAAAACUCGAAAACCAAUUAAGAAACUGAUAGAUCGAUCAAGGACUAGCUAAACUAAAAUUUUAUACAGUCAGUCAAUUAGUAGUUUCAUAUAUAUAUAUAUAUAUAUAUAUAUAUAUAUAUAUAUAUAUAUACAUGAAAAUUGUGUAAGAUGGAAGUGAUGCAGAAACGGAUUCAAUGAUUUCGAAAGAAUUGAACGAGGAUGGAGGCUAUACCGUAGCAUGCAAGUGAAAUUAAUGUAGAUAUUUAUAGAAAAUUGAAGAGGGCAUAGCUAGAGAGAUGUAUAUAUACUGAUGAAUUAAAGAUUCAGAAGAAAAAAUCUUAUAUAUUUAUAUAUAUGGCGAGGAUUAUCUUAAUUUGACUAGUAGAGAUAAGAGAAGAAUAAGCUAGCAACUAUAGUCUAUCAGACAAGUGGUUUAUAUAUAAGCUGAUGCUGUGAUUAUGUCAAAUUUAUUGGUUU
rnacentral:lncRNA from 1 species